rnacentral:misc_RNA from 2 species
AACGCACAUUGCGCCCUUUGGUAUUCCAAAGGGCAUGCCUGUUUGAGCGUCAUUUCUCUCUCAAAUCUUCGGAUUUGGUUUUGAGUGAUACUCUUAGUCAGACUAAGCGUUUGCUUGAAAUGUAUUGGCAUGAGUGGUACUAGAUAGUGCUGAACUGUUUCAAUGUAUUAGGUUUAUCCAACUCGUUGACCAGUAAAGUAUUUGUUUAGUGCGUUGGCUCGGCCUUACAACAACAAACAAAGUUUGACCUCAAAUCAGGUAGGACUACCCGCUGAACUUAA